GAAAAUAGGGUGGAAGAAAUACAUGGCAUUAGGAGUGAUUAAGGAUCUUGUUUAAGAAUGUGGAGCUUAGUUAUUGCGGUAGUGACGUGGAUCUUCGUUUUAGCUUUGGAAUCGAGGUAGGGGUUUCUUAGGGAACUUAUCACUACUUGGGGUAUUUGUCUUGUUUAAACUUUGUGAAAUAUGUGUUAUACUUGGUAUACCUUUGUAAUUGAUGUAAUUGUGUAUAUUGGAAUAUGAUAAUAUUAUUGUUGAUAAUGUGGGAAUUGUGAUGAUGAUAAUUAUAUGCAUAUUGGAAGGGAUGGAUUUUAUUGGAAUAUCCGAGAUUGAGAUAUGGAAUGGAAAUAUUCUUUUGUGUGGUUGAGUUCGGCUCUCGUAUGGACCAGCAAGGAUGGUAAAAAUGAAAUUAUAGGAAUGAUACGAAGUAGUGGAGACUGGCGAUCGAGAGGAGAACAAGAUAACUAACAAAAGGGGAAAUUUGGGUUGAUUGAAUUACGGGGUUACUUUAUAUAAUAAAGCAUUUGGACCACCGCUGCAGUGGUAAAAUGCAUGGUAUGGGACAUGUAGGUCCGCUGUUUUAUUAAAUAGAUUAAAGGGCUGGGUAAUUAAAGUUAAGCUGCAUACAUGGAAUAUAAUAUAUGUUUGAUAACAUGUUAUAAUUGAUUAUGUGUUGCAUGACACUUGGUUUAGCCUUAACAAUUAUCUUUGAUCAAAUUUAUGUCCCUACUGAGCUGUGAUUUCGCUCACCUUGUACAUUUUAGACCUUGUAGGUUCAGUACAAGAUUAAAGAAGGGUAGACGAGCUGAGGUUGUGUUAGACGAGGGAUUUUAAGGAUUUUAUUGUCUUGUACACCUGUAAGGAUUUUGGAGUUAGUUGUAUAAGAG
rnacentral:lncRNA from 1 species